GUGGUUAGUAUAUGGGCUAUACACCGAAAAGUUUGGAUCUAGUAUCAAGUUGGUUAGGAAGUUAAUAACGCGAGUAGUGAGUGUUGAAAUUUGAUGUUAGAGGUGAUAAAUGAGUCGUCAAACUUUAUAACUGUUUGGGGGUUUAAGUAGUUAUAAACUUAUUUGGUGAUGAGAUCAAAUAGGUAAAUAUAUCUGUCUUGUUUGCUGUGUUAGGUUAGGGUUAAAGUUACCUCGUUUUAUAGAGUAUGUUAUAAUCGCGGUGCGAGGUUGUGAAGAUAGAUUGUUUUUGGUGACCUCCUUUAUUGAAUUAGACUUGAUAAAGUAUCAUUUAAUAAGUAAUUAUAUUAGUUUUUAUGUGUCUCAGUUUCAUCCCGUCUGUUUAUUAAAAACAUUUCCAUAGGUUAUUUUAUAUGGUAGUGCCUGCUCUAUGUGUUAUAAAUGGCCGCAGUAUCUUGACUGUGCGAAGGUAGCAUAAUUAAUUGCC
rnacentral:rRNA from 1 species